AUGAUGUUCUGCAGAGCGGCUUGGCAACGACUUGCACCUCUGGCACGCAAAACACUCACUCCUCUCAGCAAUGCUGUAUUCCCUACACGACCGAUGUCCUUUGGUCUACCGGCGUCCGGCACCAACAUGGCGUACGUGGUACUUGGUGGAAGCUCACUUACUGCUGCUCUUGUUUAUGCUUAUAAGACAAUAAACUCUGACAGUGCGAGAUAUAAUGAAAGAAUUGCUCAACUUGAGGCCAGACCUAAAAGAGCAUUGGCCGAGGUAGCCUCUGUAGCAGAAGCAGAAACCACAGCAGGUGAGAUGAUUAAUGCAGAGGCUGAACAGACCCCAGAACCCGUGGAGGCAGCAACUGCGAUUGUAGAAGCAGUAGCAGCUGAUGCUGAGGAACCUACUGCAUCUGUUGCUGAGGAUGUCACUGCUGAGGCUGCUGCUGCUCCCAUUGCUGAAACAACCGUUAUCCCAAUGUCUGACCUACUGAGCACUGUGAAAAUCCUGGCUGGAUCUACAGGAGAGAUCGCAGCUGCUUCAGUCGGUGAUCAGCACCUGGUGGCCCCAGUGAGAUUGGCUGAGGAAAACAAUUCUAUGGAGGCCCUCAAUGGGCUGGAGGUUGCUGAUGUUAAAGCAGAGGUUGCAGUAGAAGUGCCUGAGGGAGCUGUGGUUGAGGAGACCAUGAUAGGUAGAUUGAAUCUGAAAACAGAGGGAAAAGAGCUGGAAGGACUGCCUUCAUCACUUGACGCAGUAGAAGAAAUUAUUGUUGUGGCAGAUGACCGUGUCGAGUCUGAGGAAGAGAGCCCUGCUGUGCCUGAAGAUAAUGCUGAAAGCCUCGCUUCAUCUCAAAAGGCCCUUGUUACAGAGAAGGAGAGCAUUUUGGAAUUUGAAGACUCAACAAGCCAUGUGGUGAAGCUCUCAGAAGAUGAGACAGUCUCUGGAGCUGCAGAGUUGACAUCAGAAACAGUCGAGGAAGUAGGUCAGGAAAUGGAAGAAUGUAAAGCAUUGUGUCACGAGCCAACUGCCACAGAAACUGCACAUGCAGAUCUCACAGCACCACCAGCAGACCUGGAGGACCCACUACAGGCUACGGGUGAAACAGACGCUGCAGAAGAAGGUCUUGUUAUGGAAAUGGUGCAGGAUGCUGUGGAGAAAGCUAAACCUGUUGAGGCAUCCGAUGAAGCUGUUGGAAGUGGAAAUGUUGCAUUGACCAUGACACAAGCCUGAAGUGAAUGUACCACACCUGAGACACUGGAAAGAGUGAAACUUGACAAUCUGUGAUGUAAUACAUACAAGUUAACAUAUAGUGGUGCAGUUACAGUCAUAAAAAAGACCUAUAAAUUACUUUUUGUUUCCAACUGAAUUGCAAAUUCGGUGAAUGAAUAUGGUCUCCUUAAUUUAGUUAUUUCAUCUGAAAAUGAGAUUUAGUCAGUUUCAGUUUUAAGUUUAAUUGAUCUAAUUUUCUGUCUCUGGAAAAUAGUGAUCUGUGACACUGUAUUAUGCUGAAUAUCAAAGGUUUUGUGGGCACAUUCGUGUAGUUGGAUUGCUUUUUAUUUUAAAGUGAAAAGACAAAAUUAGAAUUAGGGCAGAAAGUCCCAACUGGCAUGCUGUUUCUAGUGUUUAUUGUAAUUCAUUAGGUUAUUAUUCAGUUAUUCCGUUAUACACAAAAUAAUGUGUAAUCACAAUGGAAGGAAAUGAAAUUUUAAUUAAUCACAUCAAUCUUAAAUGUCUUUCUUUCUUUAUAUUUAUUUAUUUUUAAUGUAUGUGUACAUUUUUGAAAUCUUAUAAUAUAUAUAUAUAUAUAUAUAUAUAUAUAUAUAUAUAUAUAUAUAUAUAUAUAUAUAUAUAUAUAUAUGGCUAAUUAAGUUUAUUGUAUUCAAUUAAUUAAAAGGGUUGCUAUUAUGAUGUACAUUAAUAGAUGGUCAAUUAAAUACAUGUGUUGUAGAAUAAAUUUACCUUUCAUAACCUUUAAGAAUUAUCUCACUGGGAUUAUACUUUAUCUGUAAUUGAUUAAUUAUUUAGCUGAACUGUCAAAGCACAAUUUUAAAUAGUAUUUCAUAAUGACACACACAAACACACACACAGAGAAAGAGAGAGAGAGAGAGAGGGAAUGUUAGGCUUGAGUUAAUUUAUUAUGUGAUUGUGUUUUCUGCCUGAGAACAUGAUUAAACUAUUGAGUAUUGCUGAAAUAUGUGUGUAAAAAAAAAGUUAAUUAUUUUGUUUCAAGAAUUGCAUGAACUAUUUUAGAAAUUAGACCAACUGAAUUAGUGUGUUAGUGUGUGUAUAUAUGUGUAUAUAUAUAUAUAUAUAUAUAUAUAUAUAUAUAUAUAUAUAUAUAUAUAUAUAUAUAUGUGUAUAUAUAUAUAUAUAUAUAUAUAUAUAUAUAUAUGUAUAUAUAUAUAUAUAUGUAUAUGUGUGUGUGUGUGUGUGUGUGCGUGUGUGUGUGCGUGUGUGUGUUAGCACUGAAAUGAAUCUUCACUAUAUGCUCUCACCAGUUCUUGGCAAGCCACAACAUUUGUGAAGUUAUUAUUAACAGAAAGAUUGUAUUUACAUUAAACUCAUUAAAUAUCUGAAUUUCAAAAUUGUUUUUGUUACUAAUUCACAAGCAGUCUGGGCACAACAAGUAGUCAAAAUACAAGUAGAACAUUCAUUCUAGAAUUUUAGUAUUACUUGCUGUGUGCUUCUUCUCUGCAUGGCGUAUAACCUGAUUCUGUUAUUUUAUUUUUCUGUUAUUUUAUUAAAGAUGAAACCAGUAAAAAAGCUAAUAUGUAAAAUAACAGGCCACUUGCCUUGGCAAGGUUUCAAUUGUAUUAAAACAAAUCCUUUUGGAUAGGCCCCGUCUCCCUGUGAAAAUCACUAUGAAACCAAUCAACAACAACAAAUACAGAUAUUUUGUUGUUGUUUGUAAAUAUCAACAUUAAUUUAGUUAUUUUAUGCAUUAGUUAAUGCAUUAACAAACAAGCUUAGUUUUGUGCAGUUUUUAUUAACAUUUUUAUAAUCCAAUUAACAAAUCUGAUUAUACAACCAUUAAGCUGUCAAAAAGUUGCUGUCGAAAACGUAAUUUAAAGCUAUAUCAUAGUUAUUAUGGCUAUCAGUGAAACAAUAAACGUGUUGUUUCACAUAAUGCACCCUACAUUAUAGUUUAACUGACUAAAAUCCACUGCAAAUUAGUUUUCAGAUUUUGUACAUCUCAUAGUAGAUUCAGAAUUUAAUCAUUUUUGAAACCUGUUACCAAUAAAACUUUAUUUUCUUCAUAAAAUAACCUGUGUUCGACGUUGUUUUCAUAGGAGUUAACAGUAUAUCAAAGUAUGUAAUUACGCCAGAAGUCAAACAGCAGAGGGCGCUACCGUAUACAAAAAAAAAAAAAAAAAAAAAAACACAAAAAGAAAGGCAUUAUUUGUGCAAUAAAAUGAGAACGUGAAUAUUAAUAUGGUUACGGAAUUGUAACAAUGUAUGGCAUCAGUCCUGAACUUAUCUUUGGUUAAAGAAUGGCUUAAUUAUUUAAUUUAUUUUAACAUUAUAUUCGGUAUGGUGCAGCAUAUAUCAAACAAGACCACCUAUCCAUAUAUUUUCUACAUGUGAAAAUUAGGAAUUAUUUCUUUUGAAGCAUUAUUGCUAUGGCAGUCUGUGCCUUUUUUAAUUCUCAGUAAGCCUACUUUACACUUUAACUUCCGUUUUCCCAGUCUCGUCCAAAUAUCCAUUGUUAUAGUUUUGAAAAAAAAUAAUAAUAAUUUUGUUUUGUUUGACUUUUGCACUCACAAAAUCAUCACUCGCGUUUUAGAAUUCUAGUUAUACCAACAAAAAAAAAAAAAAAAACUGUGAAUAUAUAUAUAUAAUGUAUUUUUGUAAUUGUGACUAUGUCUCUAGGCCGUUUUCAAUUUCAAUUAAAAAAAUACGACAUAACAAUAACAAAUAACAAUAGAAUAGUAUGGUGUUUAGUAGUGAAUAAGUAGUUAAUUAGUAUUAUUCAAUAGUGAAUCUCUCUCUCUCUCUCUCUCUCUCUCUUUCUCUUUCUCUUUCUCUCUCUCCCCCCUCCCCCCUCCGUUACCUGUCCUACAUCAUGAUCUUCUGUCUGCAAACAUAGCCCCUCCAUGUCCUCUCGGCUCGGUCACUGUAAGGGACCAGUGGUCUUGUGUUCGCGGCCCGUCCAUCAGUCAGUGUAGUUCAGUGUGUGUUGUGUGUGUGAUGAUCAGGUGUGUUAGCGCUUAGCCACAGUGUGACGGACUCUCACCCGCCACAGCCACCAAACUUUGAAUGUUUCUCAUGUCUGUGUAAAUCAAACAAGCACAGAGUGUGGGUUUCAUUUGGAAAACCGUCUUUUCAAG
ensembl:lncRNA